rnacentral:lncRNA from 1 species
GGGUGACAGGGUGAGACUCUGUCUCAAAAAACAAAACAAAACAAAACAAAACAAAAUAAAAAUAAAACCCAAGACCCUAGCAAGGCAGAGACACACAAGCAGCUGGAUGUUGUAAGGAAUACAUCGGUGGAAGAAGACAUAAGUGGCUGGUUGUCAAGAGCAUGCCGAAGGAAGAGCACACUGACAGGCACCAGCAGGCCAGCACACCAGUAGGCCAACAACUGGCAGAACGACAUGGAGUUUGGCCGAGGCAGCUGGAAGAGAGCCCAGGCUGCCGAGUGGCCCGACUCCAGGGGAAAACAGUCUCCCUCUGGCUCCCUCGUCUGCUGAGAGCUACUUCCAGUCAAUAAAACCUUGCACUCAUUCUCCAAGCCCACAUGUGAUCUGAUUCUUCCAGUACACCAAGGCAAGAAACCUUGGGGUACAGAAAGCCCUCUGCCCUUGUGACAAGGUAGAGGGUCUAAUUGAGCUGACCAACACAAGCCACCUAUAGAUGGCAGGCUAAAAGAGCACCCUGUAACACACGCCCACUGGGGCUUCAGGGGCCAUAAACAUUCAUUCCUAGACAUUGGCAUGGGGUCAGAGCCCACAGCCUGCCCGUCUGUAUGCUCCCCUAGAGGUUUGAGCAGCUGGGCACUGAAGAAGUGAGUCACACCCCCAUCACACUCCCUGCAAGGGGAGCAAGGGAACCUUUCCCAUUUCAACUGGGGGCUCGCCCGGGAUCCUGGAAGAAUGGGCAACCCGUUCUCUUCACCACCCCCAGCUUAUACUCCUCUGGAGUGUAUCCUGAACCACUGGAACUGCUUGGACUCUCAGAGUCUGGAGGAAAAGUGCCUCAUAUCCCUCUGCACAAAGGUUUGGCCAAAUUAUGAUUCACAGGAAAGACUGGCUUGGCCUCAGGGAGGAACCAUUCAUUUCAAUACAAUCUGGCAAUUGGAACUUUUCUGUAGAUGUGAGGGCAGGUAGUCUGAGGCUCCAUAUGUGUAGGCUUUCUGUACCUUGCAAGGACCUUUGCCGACAGUGUAGGAUUGAUCUAGCCUUCCUGUUUGCCAUCUCAAGGAAGGCUGCAAGGGGCAAGCCCAGGGAAGUAAAGACACGAGUGCCAGAGGCACCCCCAGCAGAGGAGCCAGCUCCCUCAAACCCUGUUCCUCCAAGUUCACCCCUGCCUCCUUCUACAGCUUCAGCGUCUCACUUGCCCACUCCUAAAAAUCCUCCCCCUAAACAAGCCCCAGUCUCACUUUUGCCCCUCCAACAAAUGCCCAGUGAAUUUGGGCCCAGUAAGGUCCAGGUCCCCUUCUCCCUACGGGACUUAAAGUAAAUUAAGGAAGAUCUUUGCAAGUUUUCAGAUGACCCUGAUAGAUAAAUAGAGGCUUUCCAGAAUUUCACCCAAAUAUUUGAACUCUCCUGGAGAGAUGUUAUGUUACUUUUGAAUCAGACCCUGAUGGACACUGAGAAACAGGUCGCUCUUCAAGCAGCAGAGAGAUUUGGGGAUGAGCUUUGUGUCACAUAUAGCAUCAGGGAAGGGGGUGAACAUUAUCCAACCUGAAGAGAAGCAGUACCAGUGAAUGACCCUACAUGGGAUCCCAGUGACAAGAUGGAAGAUGAGAAGAGGAAACACUUUCAGAAACCCUCAAACUCCAAACCGUCAGGCAACCGGAGCCUCAAACGAUGGCUCCCCUUUGCUAGGAACCCUUAGAUAGACCUCUGGGAGGAGUCUGACUGCCGUUUUCCCCAAAACAACGCCCCUGUCAACAGGAAACAGCUAAGACCGGUCAUCGUCCAUAUUCUAGUGGCAGUUAGAUGUACCUCUUUAAAGGGGGGAUAUGAUAAGGGAGUGCUGGGAAGGGAAGAGCGUGGUCCCUUUAAAUGAUACAGAAGCAGAGAGGGGAAGAGCUGGGUAGAAGAAGGCGGGUUCCUGGCUAGGGCUUCACCCCCAAGGACCUAGGUGAGGACAGGCACUUCUGCUUUCACGUCCAAAUGUUGCAAUUUCCAAGACCACCCUGGCCCACCACCACCUGGCCCCAUCCUGGGCCUAUAAAAACUGAGACCUUAACAAGGCAGAGACACACAAGCGACUGGACAUUGUGAGGAACACAUAGGUGGAAGAAGACACAAGCGGCUGAUCGUCGAGAGCACGCAGGCAGAAGAGCACAUUGACAGGCACCGGCAUGCCCGCAGGCCAUCAACUGGUGUAAUGACAUGGAGUUUGGCUGGGGCAGUCUGAGGAGAGCCUGGGCUGCCGAGCUGCCCAACUCCAGGGGAAAACAAUUUCCCUCUGGCUCCCCUGUCUGCUGAGAGCUACUUCCACUCAAUAAAACCUUGCACUCAUUCUGCAAGCCCAUGUGUGAUCUGAUUCUUCUAGUACACCAAGGCAAGAAACCCAGGGAUACAGAAAGCCCUCUGUCCUUGAGACAAGGUAGACGGUCUAAUUGAGCUGACUAACACAAGCUGCCUAUGGAUGGCAAACUAAAAGAUCACCCUGUAACACACGCCCACUGGGGCUUCAGAAGUUGUAAACAUUCACCCCUAGACACUGCCAUGGCAUCAGAGCCCCAC